GAAAGCUGCUCGUCUUCAUUAACCUCAAUGUUAAAUGGAGCAUAGAGAAGGAUGAAUUCGUAGCGCAAGAUUCAAGUGGUCUGAGAGUGGAAAAACUGGAGGAGGUUUCAGGGAAGGAGCUCUUCAAAGACGCCCAGUAUAUGGUCUAUCCAGUGAGGGGCUUUCCUGAUGUUUCUGUUGCACAAGGCUGCU